AUGAACGCUAGCGGGAGGCCUAACCCAUGCAAGCCGAGCGGUAGAGUUUCUUCGGAAACUUGAGAGCGGCGCACGGGUGCGUAACACGUGUGCAACCUACCUUUAUCUGGGGGAUAGCCUUUCGAAAGGAAGAUUAAUACCCCAUAAUAUAAUGAUUGGCAUCAAUUAUUAUUGAAAACUCCGGUGGAUAGAGAUGGGCACGCGCAAGAUUAGAUAGUUGGUGAGGUAACGGCUCACCAAGUCAAUGAUCUUUAGGGGUCCUGAGAGGGAGAUCCCCCACACUGGUACUGAGACACGGACCAGACUCCUACGGGAGGCAGCAGUGAGGAAUAUUGGACAAUGGGUGAGAGCCUGAUCCAGCCAUCCCGCGUGAAGGAUGACGGUCCUAUGGAUUGUAAACUUCUUUUGUACAGGGAUAAACCUACCCUCGUGAGGGUAGCUGAAGGUACUGUACGAAUAAGCACCGGCUAACUCCGUG
rnacentral:rRNA from 1 species